rnacentral:lncRNA from 10 species
UCGAGACCAGCCUGGCCAACAUGGUGAAACCCCGUCUCUACUAAAAACGUAAAAAUUAGCCGGGCGUGGUGGUACACGCCUGUCAUCCCAGCUACUCUGCAGGCUGAGGCAGAAGCAUGGCUUGAAUCCGGGAGAUGGAGCUUACAGUGAGCCGAGAUCGCAACACUGCACUCCAGCCUGGGCGACAGGGCGAGACUGUCUUAAAAAAAAAAUAAAGGCAAAGGUGACAGGUAUGGAAUUUUCAACUUGCAUCAGGUCAGCGGCAUUCAAUAAGUUUUGGAUUUUGGAACGGUUCAAAUUUUGGAUUUUUGGAUUAGAGAUGUUCAACCUGUACAUACAUACCUACG